rnacentral:rRNA from 1 species
GACGCACGCUGGCGGCGUGCUUAACACAUGCAAGUCGAACGGAGUGGCGAACGGGUGAGUAACACGUGGGUGAUCUGCCUUGCACUUCGGGAUAAGCUUGGGUAACUGGGUCUAAUACCGGAUAGUGCAAGAUGAGCUCGCGGCCUAUCAGCUUGUUGGUGGGGUAAUGGCCUACCAAGGCGUCGACGGGUAGCCGGCCUGAGAGGGUGUACGGCCACAGUGGGACUGAGAUGCGGACCAGACUGCUACGGGAGGCAGCAGUGGGGAAUAAUGCACAAUGGGCGGAAGGCUGAUGCAGAGACGCCGCGUGGGGGAUGAAGGCCGUCGGGUUGUAAACUCCUGUCGACAGGGACGCGGUACCUGUAUAAGAAGCACCGGCUAACUACGUGCCAGCAGCCGCGGUAAUAC